rnacentral:lncRNA from 1 species
AGGGUGUUCACCCACCCACCUACUCCUGCCUCCCUGCCCUCAAUUCCCCUAGCCAUCUAUCGAGCCUUCAUAUGACCAAGGACCUCUCCUCCCAUUGAUGCCUGACAAGGCCGUCCUCUGCUACAUAUACAGCUGGAGCCAUGUAUACUCCUAGGUUGGUGGCUUAGUCCCUGGGAGCUACGGGUGGUCUGGUUGGUUGAUAUUGUUGUUCUUCCUAUGGGUUUGCAAACUCCUUCAGUCCUCUUAAAAACUCGUUUAUGUAUGUGUGUAUUCAUGUAUAGGUAUGUGGAUGUGCAUACAAGUUUCCUCUGCGUCCAGAAGAGUUGGAGUUACAGGGAGCUGUAGGUGCCCAAUAUGAGUUCUGUGAACUGAACUUGGUUCCUCGGUAAGAACGGGGUGCAGGGCAGCUGGGAUCUAGGGCUCCAGGCAUGUCGCACACAUUGUUCUGGAGAUGAUGGACCUUAUUAAGCAGAGAGGGAGCGAUUGUAGCAGGCUGACACAAGCUGGAUGAAGAGAGAAGGCCGAGAGGUGAAAGAAUACCACAGCCCCUCACUGACAAUUUGGAAGUGUGGAGAUGACAUUUCAGACUCCGAGCUGAAAAUCCUCAAAGGCCUGGAGAUCAACUCACCCAC